UACGGAAGGGGCAAGCGUUGUUCGGAUUUACUGGGCGUAAAGGGCGCGUAGGCGGCGUGACAGGUCACUUGUGAAAUCUCCGGGCUUAACCCGGAGCGGCCAAGUGGAUACUGUCGUGCUAGAGUGCGGAAGGGGCUACUGGAAUUCUCGGUGUAGCGGUGAAAAUGCGUAGAUAUCGAGAGGAACACCUGCGGCGAAGGCGGGUAGCUGGGCCGACACUGACGCUGAGGCGCGAAAGCGUGGGGAGCGAACAGG
rnacentral:rRNA from 1 species